rnacentral:rRNA from 1 species
GACGAACGCUGGCGGCGUGCUUAACGCAUGCAAGUCGAACGGAAAGGCCCUGCUUUUGUGGGGUGCUCGAGUGGCGAACGGGUGAGUAACACGUGAGUAACCUGCCCUUGACUUUGGGAUAACUUCAGGAAACUGGGGCUAAUACCGGAUAGGAGCUCCUGCUGCAUGGUGGGGGUUGGAAAGUUUCGGCGGUUGGGGAUGGACUCGCGGCUUAUCAGCUUGUUGGUGGGGUAGUGGCUUACCAAGGCUUUGACGGGUAGCCGGCCUGAGAGGGUGACCGGCCACAUUGGGACUGAGAUACGGCCCAGACUCCUACGGGAGGCAGCAGUGGGGAAUAUUGCACAAUGGGCGGAAGCCUGAUGCAGCAACGCCGCGUGCGGGAUGACGGCCUUCGGGUUGUAAACCGCUUUCGCCUAUGACGAAGCGUGAGUGACGGUAAUGGGUAAAGAAGCACCGGCUAACUACGUG